UACGUAGGGUGCUAACGUUAUCCGGAAUUAUUGGGCGUAAAGGGUGCGUAGAUGGCCUGAUAAGUUAGCAGUGGGAAAUCGAGGCUCAACCUCGUGGAAGCUGGUAAUACUGUCAGGCUCGAGUGCAGGAGAGGUUAACGGAACUCCAUGUGGAGCGGUAAAAUGUGUAGAUAUAUGGAAGAACACCAAUAACGGCGAAGGCAGUUAACUAUUCUGUUACUGACAUUGAGGCACGAAAGCGUGGGGAGCAAAACGG
rnacentral:rRNA from 1 species